rnacentral:misc_RNA from 1 species
GCUGACGGGCAAGAUCACCGACGAGGAAGGGCAGCAGCUCCUCCGGCUCCUGGACCAGCUGUUCAUCGGGGGAGCGGCACAGCCGAUCCUGGACCUGGGCAAGUGGCUGGAGCAGUACAACCAGCGCGA